rnacentral:rRNA from 1 species
AGCAGCCGCGGUAAAUUCCAGCUCCAAUAGCGUAUAUUAAAGUUGUUGCAGUUAAAAAGCUCGUAGUUGAAUUUUGGAUUCUUCCAAUUGGUCCAUCUUUUAGAUGAGUACUGGUUGUGUGGGGUCUAUCCGCCUGGUGAUACGUAAUGUCCUUUAUUGGAUGUUGCGGGUAGUCAGGACCUUUACCUUGAAAAAAUUAGAGUGUUUAAAGCAGGCUUAUGCCGGAAUACAUUAGCAUGGAAUAAUAGAAUAGGACGAAGUUGUUUUAUUUUGUUGGUUUCUAGGACAACCGUAAUGAUUAAUAGGGAUAGUUGGGGGCAUUAGUAUUCAAUUGUCAGAGGUGAAAUUCUUGGAUUUAUUGAAGACUAACUACUGCGAAAGCAUUUGCCAAGGAUGUUUU